CGCCGGACGCCGCCGAACCGGGCGUGAGCGCUGCUGACGCCCGGACCGGGGACCCACCGCAGUACUGGGGUGAAGCGCGGGCCGGAGUGAGAUCCGGCGCGCCGGGCGAGUUCCCCGCCCGAACCCGACAGCUAACUCGGUAGGCGGCUGUGGAGAACAGGA
rnacentral:sRNA from 2 species